rnacentral:rRNA from 1 species
AGAGUUUGAUCAUGGCUCAGAACUAACGCUGGCGGCGCGUCUUAAACAUGCAAGUCGAACGGGUGUAGCAAUACAUCAGUGGCAGACGGGUGAGUAACACGUGGGAACCUUCCUAGGGGUACGGAACAACUCAGGGAAACUUGAGCUAAUACCGUAUACGUCCGUGAGGAGAAAGAUUUAUCGCCCUUAGACGGGCCCGCGUCGGAUUAGGUAGUUGGUGGGGUAACGGCCUACCAAGCCUACGAUCCGUAGCUGAUCUGAGAGGAUGAUCAGCCACACUGGGACUGAGACACGGCCCAGACUCCUACGGGAGGCAGCAGUGGGGAAUCUUGGACAAUGGGCGCAAGCCUGAUCCAGCCAUGCCGCGUGAGUGAAGAAGGCCUUCGGGUUGUAAAGCUCUUUUGUCAGGGACGAUAAUGACGGUACCUGAAGAAUAAGCCCCGGCAAACUUCGUG